UCUACUCAUCAAGAUUCGUGUCAAUUCUUUUUCCUCUGACUGCUCUCUCGCUGGACCUCGACCCUUCUUCUGGUCUUCUCUCCCCAUUCUGCCAGGCGGCGCGCUCGAGACGGAGAGGACAGCGCGGGGGCUUCUGCUCGUCGCCCGCGGUUUGGGAGGUGGGGGGUGGCGGGGCGAUUCUUCUCGUCGGCCACUUGACCGACGGCGCGACGCUGCGGACGUGCUGGGUGCGACGGCGCAGACGAUUGGGACGCGCCGUACACGAGGAGACAGGGGAGGCGCCGGGGAUCGUCUCCGGCUCGAGUCCGCGGCCGCCGGGGCGCGCCUCUUCUCCAAUCUACAAGCUCUCGCGGGGAACUUCCUCACCAGCGACAACUUAUCUCCGGUUCGAUUCGCUCGCGCUUUGCCGCUAAUUUCAGUGGGAUAUGGUUGUUCGUAGGCCUUGUGUUUGUUGUGUUAGGUGGCGAUUUUCACUGUCUUUGUCGUUGGAAUGAGCUAGAUGGGGGUUGAGGUAGUACCCGAACAUAUAUAUGGAUGCAGAUAAUCACAGGGAAAUAAAUCACUCACAAACUUUUUGUUCAUUGUUUCAUUGUACUUGUUCGUUUGUGUGGAAGCAGGGAUUUUCGUUUGAUUUGGCGAGUGUGUAGCAUGAAUGGGAACAGCAUGUAUCCAUUUGUAGUCUGAUCUUACUCACAGAUUUUUGCUUGUAUUGCUAGCAUGAACAGGAACAUUAGGAAUCUGUAGUCUGGGCUUAUGGGGGCUUAUUCCUGUGGCGAUGAUUUUUGUUUGAACUGCUGUGAUUUGGUGUUGCUUGAGUUCUCGCAGUUUUGAUGGAGCAUUUUUUAAGGCCCGCUAGCCGUAGUAGGGUAUCUACCCAUUUUUACCCUACUUUUCAUGGUCAGACUCAUUUGUGCUUUUCAUCCAUACUUUACUAGAAAUGUCAAUAUGAUUGAUAUGAUGUCGAUCCGUUCCUUCAAGUGUAAUGGCCAAUUUGCAGCUAUUUUUUAUGUCUAAUUUUCUGUUGAGUUUGACUGAUGAUUUAUGGGUCUAGCUUUUGGCCUUAGUACAAAGUGUCCAUCGGUGCGUUUUGGUUAGCAGGGUGUCAUUUUUUGGCUUACAUAUAUGGGUACAAAUAUGAUGGGUUCGUUUGUAUCCGAUGUAUUUUUUUUUUUGGCCUACAAGUUGUGUUUUCAUAAAUGCUUUGAAAAAUUAAGUUGUUUUAUAUGUGCUCGCUGUUUUAAGGUGUUUAUUACAAUUUUUGUGUUCAUGGGUUUUGUGUUCAUCGUGGCCAAUUGCACUCUACUUUAAAUUUAAUUACACUAGUUUAACUUUUGCAAUUCUAGAUAUACCAAACUGCAACUAAUUGCAUAUUUUUAAGUUUAUUUUCAUCAUGGCAAAUUGCACUGCCCUUUAAAUUUCAUUGCACUACUUUAACUUUUGCAAUUCCAAGUGUACCAACUUGCAAUCACAAUUUUCAUUUAUGUUCCUUUCUUCUACGUUCAAAUUACUUCCACAAGUAUAUAUACUCUUUUUACUUUCUUUUUUGUCUGUCUUUAGUGGUAGCAGCGACAGAAGCAAUGUAGAAGCAAGACCUGAGAUUAAUUUCAAAUAAGAAGGUUGAAAGUUGCAGUGCCUUUUAAAUCAAAUUGCACCCCUUUCUGCCGUUGCAAUUCCAGCCUUUUGAAAUUGCAAUUGCACUAGGUCUUGUACAUUCAGUUAUGCAAUCUAUUUGAAAUUUGCACUGCCUUUUAAAUCAAAAUGCACCCCCUUUUCAUCUCGCUCGCUCUAUAUUGUGGCUACAUUAAUUUCCUUUGUUCUUUGGCCGAUAAGGGGUGUGAUUCCCAGGAAAUCCAGUGUCAAGAAUAAGGGGAGGGGAGGGAAGAGGGUGCGGUCAGUGGGCACACCUUGACUACGGGGGAUUGAUGUUAGCUCCCAUAAUUCUGGCUUCAAGUUGUUGUUCUCUCUACGGAUCUGAGACGGUUGAUUUCUGCUUGAGUUUAUGUUUUACCGAAUUUUGCUUCGUCCUUCUCUUCCUCAAGCCGCCAUGAGCAAUAUUGAGAUACAUUUUGUCCAAGAAGGGUGAUGGCAAUGAUUAGACGAUGAUCUUUUUUCGCAUGUUAACUGAAACACCCAUUUUCUGUAUUUCUGUCGAAGUGUUUUGGAUCUGAUGUUGCUAGAUGUUUAAUUCUGUGAGGAUAAUUUUGCAGCUUAUAUGCUCGAGUUGGAGGUGUCUUUUGUAAGGUGUAUAAACAUAUAAUUGGAAAUUUCUGGUUCAAAUAACGGUAGUUUACUUAUAAUUCCUUUUGUUGUUAAA